AUACGGAGGGUGCAAGCGUUAUCCGGAAUCAUUGGGUUUAAAGGGUCCGCAGGCGGACUGAUAAGUCAGUGGUGAAAUCCAGUAGCUUAACUACUGAACUGCCAUUGAAACUGUCAGUCUUGAAUUCGGUCGAAGUGGGCGGAAUGUGUCAUGUAGCGGUGAAAUGCAUAGAUAUGACACAGAACACCGAUAGCGAAGGCAGCUCACUAGGCCUGAAUUGACGCUCAGGGACGAAAGCGUGGGGAGCGUACAGGAUUAGAAACCCUAGUAGUCC
rnacentral:rRNA from 1 species